rnacentral:rRNA from 1 species
UACGGGGGGGGCAAGCGUUGUUCGGAAUUACUGGGCGUAAAGGGCUCGUAGGCGGCCAACUAAGUCAGACGUGAAAUCCCUCGGCUUAACCGGGGAACUGCAUCUGAUACUGGAUGGCUUGAGUUCGGGAGAGGGAUGCGGAAUUCCAGGUGUAGCGGUGAAAUGCGUAGAUAUCGGGAGGAACACCAGCGGCGAAGGCGACUUCCUGGCCUGUUCUUGACGCUGAGGCGCGAAAGCUAGGGUAGCAAACGGG